rnacentral:rRNA from 1 species
UACGUAGGGGGCAAGCGUUGUCCGGAAUUAUUGGGCGUAAAGAGCGCGUAGGCGGUCCGAUAAGUCGGCUGUGAAAGUCAAGGGCUCAACCCUUGAAAGCCGGUUGAUACUGUCGGGCUAGAGUCCGGAAGAGGCGAGUGGAAUUCCCGGUGUAGCGGUGAAAUGCGCAGAUAUCAGGAGGAACACCAAUUGCGAAGGCAGCUCGCUGGGACGUUACUGACGCUGAGACGCGAAAGCGUGGGGAGCAAACAGG